rnacentral:rRNA from 1 species
GACAGAGGGUGCAAACGUUGUUCGGAUUUACUGGGCGUAAAGGGCUCGUAGGCGGCCAACUAAGUCAGACGUGAAAUCCCUCGGCUUAACCGGGGAACUGCGUCUGAUACUGGAUGGCUUGGAUUUGGGAGAGGGAUGCGGAAUUCCAGGUGUAGCGGUGAAAUGCGUAGAUAUCUGGAGGAACACCGGUGGCGAAGGCGGCAUCCUGGACCAAUAUUGACGCUGAGGAGCGAAAGCGAGGGGAGCAAACGGG